GCACUGGGCAGAUCCAAUCAGUUUAAAACUUCAACACCCGCCUCCAAAAAUACCCACAUAAUCGGCGCACGUUGUGGAUUGGACCCAUCGCUGUCCUGGAAUAGAGGUACCAUCCCCUCUGUCAAGCCCCGCAGCUCAACAGCACCAUCCAUCUCGUCCAAGUCGCCGUCCGCCUAAGGCGGUUCUGUCUCCUCGACAAAGACAUGCUUCCCCCAUGGAUCUCGAGUCACAUGACCCCCUAACCAGGUUGAUCGUCAAGGACCUGGGUCCUUGACGUUGAUGCUUAUAUAUUUUAGACUCUACGUU
ensembl:lncRNA